GACCAGUGCUUCUUGAAUUAUCUUUGAAGGUUUGGAAUCUUCAACCCAGCAGUCGUGUAUGAUCACCUGGGAGAAAUUUAUUCAGCACUUAUUCUGGGAAGCUUAGUGUUCUGCAUUUUGUUAUACUUGAAAGGUCAUUUGGCACCAUCUUCUUCGGAUUCUGGUUCAUUAGGGAACUUCAUAAUUGAUUUUUAUUGGGGCAUGGAACUGUAUCCUCGUAUCGGCAAAAACUUUGACAUCAAGGUUUUUACAAACUGCCGAUUUGGUAUGAUGUCCUGGGCUGUUCUUGCCGUCACAUAUUGCAUCAAACAGG